AGGGUUUGAUCAUGGCUCAGGAUGAACGCUAGCGGCAGGCUUAACACAUGCAAGUCGAGGGGUAACAGGGAUUGCUUGCAAUCCGCUGACGACCGGCGCACGGGUGCGUAACGCGUAUGCAACCUACCUUCUACAGGGGAAUAGUCAAUAGAAAUGUUGAAUAAUACCCCAUACGAUCUUUGAAUAGCAUUAUUUAGAGAAGAAAGUUCCGGCGGUAGAAGAUGGGCAUGCGUCCUAUUAGUUAGUUGGAGAGGUAACGGCUCCCCAAGACAUCGAUAGGUAGGGGUCCUGAGAGGGAGACCCCCCACACUGGUACUGAGACACGGACCAGACUCCUACGGGAGGCAGCAGUGAGGAAUAUUGGACAAUGGAGGCAACUCUGAUCCAGCCAUGCCGCGUGCAGGAAGACUGCCCUAUGGGUUGUAAACUGCUUUUAUACAGGAAGAAAUGUACCUACGUGUAGGUAUUUGACGGUACUGUACGAAUAAGGAUCGGCUAACUCCGUGCCAGCAGCCGCGG
rnacentral:rRNA from 1 species